GCAGCAGCCGCGGUAAUACAGAGGGUGCAAGCGUUAGUCGGAAUUACUGGGCGUAAAGCGCGCGUAGGUGGUUUGUUAAGUUGGAUGUGAAAUCCCCGGGCUCAACCUGGGAACUGCAUUCAAAACUGACUGACUAGAGUAUGGUAGAGGGUGGUGGAAUUUCCUGUGUAGCGGUGAAAUGCGUAGAUAUAGGAAGGAACACCAGUGGCGAAGGCGACCACCUGGACUAAUACUGACACUGAGGUGCGAAAGCGUGGGGAGCAAACAGGAUUAGAUACCCGUGUAGUCCCUGUCUCUUAUAC
rnacentral:rRNA from 1 species